UACGGGGGGGGCAAGCGUUGUUCGGAAUUACUGGGCGUAAAGGGCUCGUAGGCGGCCAACUAAGUCAGACGUGAAAUCCCUCGGCUUAACCGGGGAACUGCGUCUGAUACUGGAUGGCUAGAGGUUGGGAGAGGGAUGCGGAAUUCCAGGUGUAGCGGUGAAAUGCGUAGAUAUCAGGAGGAACACCUGUGGUGUAGACAGCUUACUGGACCAUUUCUGACGCUGAGACACGAAAGCGUGGGUAGCAAACAGG
rnacentral:rRNA from 1 species